ensembl:misc_RNA Metazoa_SRP Metazoan signal recognition particle RNA
GCUGGGUGUGGUGACGCACACCUAUAAUCCCAGCUACUCAGGAAGCUGAGAUGGGAGGAUCACUUGAGCCUGGGAUGUUGAGGCUGCAGUGAGCUGAGAUCGUGCCACUGUACUCUAGCCUGGGUGACAGAGUGAGACCCUAUCUCAA